UUGCAGUGAGCUGAGAUUGCGCCACUGCACUCCAGCCUGGGCGACAGAGCAAGACUCCGCCUCAAAAAAAAAAAAAAAAAGAAACAAACAAACAAACAAACAAACGUAUUUUCCCACUCCUCUGGUUUCUACGAGGAAGAAUUUUCCCCUAAGCACUUCUGGCUUCUCAGCCUACCCCUUACUUUUCACCACAGAAAUAGAGUGAAUUACCUGAUUUGAUGAAUCUGGGAGAGGAACUGGACACUCACACUUCAGCAUCUUCUUAUCAUCCUCUUCCUCUUGGGAGCCAGCCAUCUGCAGGGUGAACGUGCUCCUCCGUGCUAGAAGUUUUCCAGGGCAGGCCCCACAGACAGCAGCCUGCAGAAGUGCAGCACUGCCCAAGGCCAGAGGAAAGCAUCUUCUAGUCUAUGAAUGUACACUCUGGAGCUGCUCUGGAUAUUGGCAAUGUUGCUACCAAUCUAGAAAUCAGGAACCUAAAGACCCUUUUCUAACACACUGGCCUAGGAUGAAUCUGAAUAAGACUUUGACUUAUGAAAACAGGAGGAAAUGGAAAAGCAAUCCUAUUAGGGUCAAAUAUCUUCAAGACGACACACUCGUACAUUGCCAAGAAAGACUCAGCAUAAUUCCCUUGUGUUUUUACACUACAAAAGGUCCCUAUCUCCUUUCUGUAGCUGGAGUUGCUUAAAUUUGAUAUGCACAUAACUUCAGAAGGGGGUAGACAGAGCCCAUGCCUCCUGCAAGGAGUGAGAAAUAGACCUAAACGAUCACAGUUCAUUCAUUGAUUUUGCAAAUAUUAUUGAUCAUUUACUUUAUGUCAAGCACUGGGGAUAAAGUAAAGCAGUGGGAUCUAGUUCCCUACCCUCCUGGAGCUUCUGAUCCAGAUUCCUAGAGCUGAAACAGGCUUUGAAGACCUCUCAAUUUGUGGUUUCCAAAUUAUCUACCAAAGGUCAUUAAUAUUCUAUGCAAUAUUAAUUGGUAUUUCUUGGAGUAGGAUGACGUGAGGAAUUGUGUUCCAUGGUCAAAUUAAGUUCAAAGUGUUAGGUUAAACAAAGUUACAUUAGUUUCUUCAUGCCAGGCUACUCAGAGCCUUUCUAUGUUAACACACAUUGUGACUCUCUGACGGUGAGGGGGAGAGGAUGAGAUGCAAUAUGAUCAUUUGCUUUCCCCACUUAUUUCAACACAAAUCUUUUCUGAAGAGUACCCAUUAAUAAAAACUGUUGGCAGAACAUACUUCUGUUAAUGCUUCCAAAGCCAAAACCUAAAUCCACGUUUCCUUCAGCACAUGAGGAAGCUGCAGUGACCUAGAAUGGUGAGGGGCAGAACUGAGGCAAGAACCUGGAUCUCAUUAUUAUUUUCUUGAUCUUUUACCCAUUCCAUUCUGCCUGUUUCUACUCUCUUUCUCAUCCCCUGGAAAGACAUAUAAAAGCAGUGUUUCUUCCUUCUUUAUUUACCUCCUUCUUAGAUCAUGGUAAUGGUGAUUGUCUUCUCACCUAUUAACUGGUUUCUUUCUCUGCUGUCUAUAGCUUUGGGUCAUAAGCUCUUAAAAGUCAAAGACCAGCUUUUACACAAUAAACU
rnacentral:lncRNA from 1 species